UACGAAGGGUCCUAGCGUUGUUCGGAAUUACUGGGCGUAAAGCGCGCGCAGGCGGCUUCUUAAGUCUGCUGUGAAAGCCCACGGCUCAACCGUGGAGGGUCAUUGGAAACUGGGAAGCUUGAGUGCAGAAGAGGAGAGUGGAAUUCCACGUGUAGCGGUGAAAUGCGUAGAGAUGUGGAGGAACACCAGUGGCGAAAGCGGCUCUCUGGUCUGUAACUGACGCUGAGGCGCGAAAGCGUGGGGAGCAAACAGG
rnacentral:rRNA from 1 species